CCCGUUGAACUCAAUUACACCGGGCGGCGAUAUUCACCUGUGCGUUGGCGCAAGCCGGCCGCGGGGCACUUAUCGAUCCGCAGCGUACGGACAUCGCGAUCCAUUACGGGCGCACGCUUGAAAGGUGCAACUUCCGACGCCGGUCCCUGGACUCGUGCGGUCGACCCUCUAGUAGUGGCGCUUAGUUCGGAAGGCCUGCGUCAUGAGCGGGGGAUUCGGUGGGGGCUUUGCCCUUGCCGGAGCUCGGCCGAGUCUUGGUGUACCGUCGGAAGCGUGAUGGGCUCACACGGAACGGCGGAGAUGGAAGCACAUGCCCUACCCGGCAUGCACCGCGGCGCCAGCUGCGGGCCUCCACUCACCCGAUCCGCGAUGUGUUAUCUAUAAUUGAGGUACCUACGGG
rnacentral:rRNA from 1 species